GACGAACGCUGGCGGCGUGCUUAACACAUGCAAGUCGAACGGAAAGGCCUGCUUUCCCUUGUGGAUUGCGGGUACUCGAGUGGCGAACGGGUGAGUAACACGUGAGUUAUCUGCCCCCAACUUGGGUAUAAGCCUGGGAAACUGGGUCUAAUUCCCGAUAGGACUGCAGGGUGGUGCCUGUGGUGGAAAACGAUUUUCUAGUGGUUGGGGAUGAGCUCGCGGCCUAUCAGCUUGUUGGUGGGGUAAUGGCCUACCAAGGCGGCGACGGGUAGCCGGCCUGGGAGGGUGGACGGCGACAUUGGGACUGAGAUACGGCCCAGACUCCUACGGGCAGCAGCAGUGGGGAAUAUUGCGCAAUGGGCGGAAGCCUGAUGCAGCGACGCCGCGUGGGGGAUGACGGCCUUCGGGUUGUAAACUCCUUUCGACCGCGAGGAAGCCACCUGGUUGGAAGGGUGGUGACGGUAGUGGUAGAAGAAGCACCGGCUAACUACGUG
rnacentral:rRNA from 1 species